UCCCACCUCUAGAAAGUCUACUAGACAGCAUAAUCCUCCUUCCUACCUUAAGGAUUAUGUCUAUCAACUCCCUGCAUUUUCUAGUUCCUCUUCCUCCACUUUGGAAUCUAAACCUAUGUACUACUCUCAAGCUGCAUCUGUCCCAGCAUAGCAGGAUACAAUGAGACAGGAGUUUGCUGCUUUGGAAGCUAAUCAUACUUGGGACAUUGUCCCUCUUCCUG
rnacentral:lncRNA from 1 species